CAAUACUUAGUGGCAGACGGGUGAGUAACAUGUAGGUAUCUGCCCUUUGGCCUGGAAUAACGCGAGGAAACUUGUGCUAAUACCGGAUAAGUCUUUACGGAGAAAGCUUUAUGCACCAUUGGAUGAGCCUGCACUUGAUUAGUUUGUUGGUGGGGUAAUGGCCUACCAAGACUGUGAUCAAUAGCUGAUUUGAGAGGAUGAUCAGCCACAUUGGGACUGAGACACGGCCCAAACUCCUACGGGAGGCAGCAGUGGGGAAUCUUGCACAAUGGAGGAAACUCUGAUGCAGCGAUGCCGCGUGAGUGAAGAAGGCCUUUGGGUUGUAAAGCUCUUUCGUCGGGGAAGAAAAUGACUGUACCCGAAUAAGAAGGUCCGGCUAACUUCGUGCCAGCAGCCGCGGUAAUACGAAGGGACCUAGCGUAGUUCGGAAUUACUGGGCUUAAAGAGUUCGUAGGUGGUUGAACAAGUUAGUGGUGAAAUCCCAGAGCUUAACUCUGGAACUGCCAUUAAAACUUUUCAGCUAGAGUAUGAUAGAGGAAAGCAGAAUUUCUAGUGUAGAGGUGAAAUUCGUAGAUAUUAGAAAGAAUACCAAUUGCGAAGGCAGCUUUCUGGAUCAUUACUGACACUGAGGAACGAAAGCAUGGGUAGCGAAGAGGAUUAGAUACCCUCGUAGUCCAUGCCGUAAACGAUGUGUGUUAGACGUUGGAAAUUUAUUUUCAGUGUCGCAGGGAAACCGAUAAACACACCGCCUGGGGAGUACGACCGCAAGGUUAAAACUCAAAUGAAUUGACGGGGACCCGCACAAGUAGUGG
rnacentral:rRNA from 1 species